UACGUAGGGGGCAAGCGUUGUCCGGAUUUAUUGGGCGUAAAGAGCGUGUAGGCGGCCAGACAGGUCCGUUGUGAAAACUCGAGGCUCAACCUCGAGACGCCGAUGGAAACCGUCUGGCUAGAGUCCGGAAGAGGAGAGUGGAAUUCCUGGUGUAGCGGUGAAAUGCGCAGAUAUCAGGAAGAACACCGGUGGCGAAGGCGGGUCUCUGGGCAGUAACUGACGCUGAGGAGCGAAAGCGUGGGGAGCGAACAGG
rnacentral:rRNA from 1 species